rnacentral:rRNA from 1 species
UGGGGAGCCUCCCAUAUGGUCGACCUGCAGGCGGCCGCGAAUUCACUAGUGAUUCGUAUUACCGCGGCUGCUGGCACGUAGUUAGCCGGUGCUUAUUCUUCAGGUACCGUCAUUAGCAAGGGAUAUUAGCCCUCACCGUUUCUUCCCUGACAAAAGAGCUUUACAACCCGAAGGCCUUCUUCACUCACGCGGCAUUGCUGGAUCAGGCUUGCGCCCAUUGUCCAAAAUUCCCCACUGCUGCCUCCCGUAGGAGUCUGGACCGUGUCUCAGUUCCAGUGUGGCUGGUCGUCCUCUCAGACCAGCUACUGAUCGAUGCCUUGGUAGGCCUUUACCCCACCAACUAGCUAAUCAGAUAUCGGCCGCUCCAGGAGCACAAGGCCUUGCGGUCCCCUGCUUUCAUCCUUAGAUCGUAUGCGGUAUUAGCGUAACUUUCGCUACGUUAUCCCCCACUCCAGGGUACGUUCCGAUAUAUUACUCACCCGUUCGCCACUCGCCGCCAGGUUGCCCCGCGCUGCCGUUCGACUUGCAUGUGUAAGGCAUGCCGCCAGCGUUCAAUCUGAGCCAUGAUCAAACUCUAAUCGAAUUCCCGCGGCCG